GAUGAACGCUAGCUACAGGCUUAACACAUGCAAGUCGAGGGACCGGCGCACGGGUGAGUAACACGUAUCCAACCUGCCCUUUACUCGGGGAUAGCCUUUCGAAAGAAAGAUUAAUACCCGAUGUAAAGGAUGGGGAUGCGUUCCAUUAGGUUGUUGGUGAGGUAACGGCUCACCAAGCCUUCGAUGGAUAGGGGUUCUGAGAGGAAGGUCCCUCACAUCGGAACUGAAGCACUGUCCAAACUCCUACGGGAGGCAGAAGUGAUGAAUAUGUGGCAAUGGGCUUUAGCCUGAACCAGCCAAGUAGAGUGAAGGAUGAAGGCUUAUGGGUCGUAAACUUCUUUUAUAUAAGAAUAUGUAUUAUAUGAAUAAGGAUCGGCUAACUCCGUGCCAGCAGCCGCGGUAAUAC
rnacentral:rRNA from 1 species